rnacentral:rRNA from 1 species
UACGGAGGGUGCAAGCGUUAAUCGGAAUUACUGGGCGUAAAGGGUGCGUAGGUGGUUUGAUAAGUCAUGUGUAGAAGCCCUGGGCUCAACCUGGGAAUGUCAUGUGAUACUGUUGGACUUGAGUAUGGGAGAGGGCAGUGGAAUUUCCGGUGUAGCGGUGAAAUGCGUAGAGAUGUGGAGGAACACCGAUGGCGAAGGCAGCCCCCUGGGGUAACACUGACGCUCAUGCACGAAAGCGUGGGGAGCAAACAGG